ensembl:lncRNA
GAGGAAAGAAAGAAGAUGAGCUGAGCAGAGUGCUGGGACCGAGUACUGCAAGGUCAACCUGGGCUUUUUAUCCAUCUCCUUACCCUUGGCAGCUGAGAAGACCACCAGGCUGAACAGCCCCCUAAUUACUGUGAUGGCAUUGCCUUGAUUUUGUACUGCAACAUGGCUGUGAUUUGGAGCUUGUCAGCUGAAACUGCUCCACAGAACUGUUGCUCUUUAUCUGGGCUGAGCAAUCAACUUGACAGAGUAUGUGUUUUGCCUGUUUCCCUUGAGCUGGAACUUCAGUACCUGACAGAACUUGGCCGCAUGUGUGAUUUUUCUGGAAUUCACAGUCUGGCCCCUGCAGCCUCCUGCAAAACCCUGAGAGUUGAAUCUCUGAAGUCUGAUAAGUGUGCACAUUUGUUGGGAGGCGAUAUUUACAGCUCUUUCCCUCCACGGAUGUAUCGGUAGGACCUCUGACUCCCAAAGGACUGCCUGUUUUUCAAGAAAUAGUAGGUUCUCUUUUGCUCCUGAAAGAUGCCGAUAAUCAAAGCACACAGACCUGUACGUUCAGAGUACAGCUAAGUGGGUGUGCAGGAGAGGAAGGAGCCGCAUUGCCCAGUGAAAACUCAAGCUUCACGUUCAGCUUAGUGAUCUCGCUUCUUUGUGCAUCCAAGUGGCAGCAGUUGGGCAGUCUGACAGAAUGGUGCGUGACAUGAAAAUUUGUCUGAAGCAAAGGUGUGUCACUGAAUUCCUUUGUACGAAAAAGUUGUACCCAUUGACAUUCAUUGACACAGUGGAUCUUAGCACAGUGAAGUCUGGACUACGUGGACAGCAUCUUCCUAGCAAUUAUGCCAUCACAGCAGCUGUAAAAGAGUGGUCACCUCUACUGAUGUAGAUUUUCACAAACGUAGCAUGCAGGCUUUUGUUCAUCGCUGGUGAAAAUGCAUAGGUAAUGGUGACAACUGUUGAAAAAUUGUGUUCUGUAGCUCCAAAUUUGUUCUAUCAAAUAGUGCUGUUGUGCUGUUUGUGUCUGUUGUAGCUUCCAUGGGAAUAAAUAGGAGGCCUAGAGUGACCUGUGUAGCAUUCACAUGCAGAAUAAUGUCUCAUCUUGUUGUACUGUUUCAGGAUUACCUUCUGCCUAACAUUUCAGCCCAUGUACUAAAAAGUUGUUCUUGAAGACUAUUCUAACGGAAUGGUAACCUGUGCUGUCACAGGAGAGGCAGAAACUAUUGCAUGGAAGUUAAAAUAUGUAUGUCUUAUUGUUAAGUCUGUAUUUAGUAGUCAGCUGAAAUAGCUUAGGGCUAAUUGUUCUCUUUCCACUGAAUUUUCUGUGUGCUAAUAGCAGUGACAUUGGUCAGUCUUGUGGUUUUAUAGUGGAAAAAAGUAAUUGGAAACAGAUAUCACACACUUCUGCUUGCUUUUUAUUUUUACUGAGCUUUCUCCCCUUCAGAAAUAACUUCUCACAGUGAC